rnacentral:lncRNA from 1 species
GCCUGCAGUCCCCGCGCUUCUCCGCGCGUCUUCGUGCUUCCCCGGUGCCUGAACGGGGCGAGGGCCGAGCACUGUGCGCGGUAGUUGGGACUCAGAUCCCUGGGCACAAAGUGGCGCUCAGAGCCUGGGGAGGCUCAAGGACAGACAGGAUGAUGGCACGCAGCAAGAGCCAGGCUCCUCACUGCUUCGAGGAACCGAAACACCGAGCGGCUCGCCAUCUCCCUUCCCCCGGGUGUCCGCAGACCCUCCUCCGCCUGCGGGGACUGCGGACGCGCGGGGCGGCGCUAACGCUCCCCUCCCAGCUCCACAGACAGCAAACAUGGCGUGACUUGGAUUGCUUCACCUUGAGAUCGAACUGCUUUGAGAAAACCAAACCCCUAAUAACUAUUCUGCCUAAAGUUUGGACUGGCACAGGUAAUCUACUUUACUUGCUGAAGGAGUGGCAGUUCUAUGUGGACCCCUGGACUACAGGUGGGAAGCGCAUAUGCUGUACAGAGGCUUGUAGAAGUAAGUUCUGGUGUACGAUGCUCCAGGACACGAGAGGCUGUGUGUAGGCCAUACAGGAACGUUGGUUUCCAUAUCAAGGGGAUUGCAAAAAGAUGAUCACCUGGCCAAGGCUGCAAAGUCAUGUAUGAAAUGUGUUGUAUGCAUGUGGAAUUUACUGAAUGUCUUCAGACCCAUACCAGCCAACUACCACUUCACACCAGGAACUGCUGGAGAGCCUUUUUUUCCUGCAAUAUUCCUCCAAUACCCUCUACUGAGAAAG